GGGCGAUGGCGUUGAGUUUCUGGGGAGAAAAGGCCUCGCCUCAGCCCGGCUUCCUUUACUGCCCCGCUCCACCCCCCACCCCUUUAUGAAACCGAGUUGUCUUCUUGUUUGGGGCUUAUGUAUUCUGGCCGUGAACCUCUUGUCAGAGAGAUGACUUGCAAAUAUUCUCUUAUUCCAUCGAUCGGCUUUUCAUUUUGUUGAUUUUUCGAGGACAGUUAACAGAUUUGGUCUAACUUUUCCAACCCUGAGAAUCAUUGGGCUUUUGUUCAAAAAUACAUAUAUUCCCAAGCCCUUACUGAAAAUUCUGAUUCAGGAGAUAAAAAUCAGGAACCAUGAAUCUGUUUUGGUUUUGUUUUUGCCUUGUGGUGCUUGCUUGCGGGGUCUUAGUUCCCCUACCAGGGAGGGAACCCCCUCCCGCUUACAGUGGAAGCUCAGUCUUAACCACUGGACCGCCGGGGAAGUCCCUGAAUCUGUAUUUUUACUAGGAACCUCGGGGGAUUCUCGAAUCUAGAAAGUUUGGAACAUUCUAGAUUCUGCUCUAAUAGUGUUUUUCAGCUGGAGCUGAACAGGAGAAUCAGACCUUUAGCAAGACUAAGGCCUCCUUCCUAUUUGCAGAGUUUUGGAAUUAAUUGGCAAUAAUUAGUUCUCAAUAGAGACCUGCUGGGAUUUUAAGUAUCUCCAGGAGACACUGAUGCCGAGCCCUGGGAGGACCUCGUCCAUCUGCACCUGGCCCAGGGACCCCAGCUCCUGGCACAGUCUGGCUCAGGGUGGGUCUCCUGUAGCCUCACUGCCUUGUUUGAUGCUUCCAUUUCUGAUAUUGGACAGUGGUUCUGUUCCAGGGAGGUCGAGAGCUUUACAGAGAAACCUGACAUUUGUGGUCAGAAUUCCCCGUGAUGGCAUGGGAAAGUUGGAAAAAAAUGGAUUGUAGGUUUACUUCAUAGGGGAUCCAGUCAAGGUCUGCCUUUGGUGGCCAGCUCUGAAUGCUUCCUUCUGCAGAGAAAAGUGGCACCGCAGAUGGGAGUAUUUGCUGCCAGAAUUGCUCCAAAGAAUGAGACUUUAUCACUGUGUGGUCUUUCCUCUACAGUGGUCCUAACACAGCCGCACUUGCCAUCGCCCUGGGCCCUGGGAAGCAGACUCUCUAUUCAGAAGGAAUUUUCUCAAAGCCGUAUCCAACUCUGUGAUCCCAUGGACUGGAGCCGGCCAAGCUUCUCUGUUCAUGAGGAUUCUCCAGACAAGAAUACUGCAGUGGGUUGCCAUGCCCUCCUCCAGGGGAUCUUCCCAACCCAGGUUGCUUCUGGAAUUGUGACCUUCAUGCUGCAGAAGCGCUCUGAGGUCUCCAAGAGCUGUGGUCACACCAGCGCAGGGCACGUCCCUCAGGGAGCAUGGCCGUCUGCAGUUGGAUUUGGAGAGAUAAUCAAUGCUUUGUUUUGCUGCCUGAAAUAAAUGACACAAAAUUAACCUGAAUGCCAGGAUCAGGUAAUACACAUAUUAACCUGUCUGUCAGUCUGAUCACUCACCUAGAGCCAGACAUCCUGGAAUGCAAAGUCAAGUGGGCCUUAGGAAGCAUCACUAUGAACAAAGGUAGUAGAAGUGAUGGAAUUCCAGGUGAGCUUUUUCAAAUCCUAAAAGAUGAUGCUGUGAGAGUGUUGCACUCAAUAUGGCAGCAAAUUUGGAAAACUCAGCAGUGCCCCCAGGACUGGAAAUGGUCAGUUUUCAUUCCAAUCCCGAAGAAAGGCAAUGCCAAAGAAUGUUCAAACUACUGCACAAUUGUACUCAUCUCACACACUAGCAAAAUAAUGCUCAAAAUUCUCCAAGCCAGGCUUCAACAAUACAUGAAUCAUGAACUUCCAGAUGUUCAAGAUAUAUUUAGAAAAGGCAGAGGAACCAGAGAUCAAAUUGCCAACAUCUAUUGGAUCAUCGAAAAAGCAAGACAGUUCCAGAAAAACAUCUACUUCUGCUUUAUUGACUAUGCCAAAGUCUGACUGUAUGGAUCACAACAAACUUUGGACAAUUCUUACAGAGAUGGGAAUACCAGACCACCUGACCUGCCUCCUGAAAAGUCUGUAUGCAGGUCAAGAAGCAACAGUUAGAACUGGACAUGGAACAACAGACUGGUUCCAAAUAGGAAAAGGAAUACGUCAAGGCUGUAUAUUGUCACCCUGCUUAUUUAACUUAUAUGUAGAGUACGUCAUGCAAAAUGCCAGGCUGGUUGAAGCACAAGCUGGAAUUAAGAUUGCUGGGAGAAUAUCGAUAACCUCAGAUAUGCAGAUGACACCACCCUUAUGGCAGAAAGUGAAGAAGAAUUAAAGAGCCUCUGGAUGAAAGGGAAAAAGGAGAGUGAAAAAGUUGGCUUAAAACUCAACAUUCAAAAAAUGAAGAUCAUGGUAUCUGGUCCCAUCACUUCAUGGCAAAUAGAUGGGAAAACAAUGGAAACAGUGACAGACUUUAUUUUUCUGGGCUCCAAAAUCCCUGCAGAUGGUGACUGCAGCCAUGAAAUUAAAAGACGUUUGCUCCUUGGAAGAAAUCUACGAGCAACCUAGCCAGCAUAUUAAAAAGCAGAGACAUUACUUUGCCAACAAAGGUUUGUCUAGUCAAAGCUAUGGUUUUUCUAGUGGUCAUGUAUGGAUGUGAGAGUUGGACUAUAAAGAAGGCUGAGUGCCAAAGAAUUGAUGCAUUUGAACUGUGGUGUUGGAGAAGACUCUUGAGAGUCCCUUGGACUGCAAGGAGAUCCAACCAGUCCAUCCUAAAGGAGAUUCGUCCUGAGUGUUCAUUGGAAGGACUGUUGCUGAAGCUGAAACUCCAGUACUUUGGCCACCUCAUGCAGAGUUGACUCAUUAGAAAAGACUCUGAUGCUGGAAAGAUUGAAGGCAGGAGGAGAAGGGGAUGACAGAGGAUGAGAUGGUUGGAUGGCAUUACUGACUUGAUGGAUAUGAGUUUGAGCAAGCUCUAGGAGUUGAUGAUGGACAGGGAAGUCUGGUAUGCUGCAGUCCGUGGGGCCGCAAAGAGUCUGACACAGCUGAGUGACUGGACUGGACUGAUAAGUCCUCUGAGUCAUCUGUAAUGACCCCCAGAGUGGACCUUUGCUCUCCCGAUUGUUCAGCCAUGCUGCCUACUGUCACUUGUAUCUGAAACCCCUGAGACUGACAGCUUCCUUCCGGCUGUACAGAAGGCAUAGUGUGUGCAGUGCAAUACAGCCAUGUAUCC
ensembl:lncRNA